rnacentral:rRNA from 1 species
UGAGCCAAGUUUAGGGUUUCUUAAAAACCCAAGCAGUAUUGAACUGAAGAGUUUGAUCAUGGCUCAGAUUGAACGCUGGCGGCAGGCCUAACACAUGCAAGUCGAGCGGAUGACGGGAGCUUGCUCCUUGAUU